rfam:Clostridiales bacterium CHKCI001 isolate CHKC1 genome assembly, contig: {contig37}
UGAAAGUCCCAGACAACAGCCAUGAAACAGACCGUGUUUACACGGGAUGGCUCAUGGAUAUUGGACAGGCUAACCUAUAUGAACAAGGAGAGCGACCGCUCAGAUUGUGAAUAUAGGUGGCAAUUGCGGGAGCACUAAAGUGCGGAGCAAUGGACUUUCA